rnacentral:tRNA from 1 species
AGGACCAUGGCUCAGUUGGUUGAGGCGCUACCUUGACAUGGUAGAGGUCGGCGGUUCGAAUCGGCCUGGUCCUACCA